CCUACGGGUGGCAGCAGUGGGGAAUAUUGCACAAUGGGGGAAACCCUGAUGCAGCAACGCCGCGUGAAGGAAGACGGUUUUCGGAUUGUAAACUUCUGUUCUUAGGGAAGAAUAUUAACGGAAGCUAAGAAGCAACCCCCGCCUAACUACGUGCCAGCAGCGGCGGUAAUACGUAGGUGGCAAGCGUUGUCCGGAAUAACUGGUUGUAAAGGGAGCGCAGGCGGGAAGCCAAGUCAGCUGUGAAAACUACGGGCUUAACUUGUAGACUGCAGUUGAAACUGGUUUUCUUGAGUGAAGUAGGGGUUGGCGGAAUUCCGGGUGUAGCGGUGAAAUGCGUAGAUAUUCGGAGGAACACCGGUGGCGAAGGCGGCCAACUGGGCUUUAACUGACGCUGAGGCUCGAAAGUGUGGGGAGCAAACAGGAUUAGAUACCCUUGUAGUC
rnacentral:rRNA from 1 species